CAAAAGGAUUUUGUAAAGUUUUCAUAUGAAACCUUUCUCUGAGAUGGGGUCUAGAAGUUAGCGUUUAAGUUACCUGGAUAACGACCCAAGUAAAACACAGGAAGGAAUCACUUUGUGGGGAGAUGUGACUGAUAUCAUUGUGUUGGCACUAGCUAGCAGGACUCUAAGGGCAGACAGGAAGGUAUUAGUAUAAUGUAGAAGGUUGUAAUCCACUUGGCAGCCAUGCCUUAAAUGGGCACUGGAUUGACUUGUGGUCCUUGCAGUCUUUCUGAAGAAAACCAGAAAAACAGACCUCCAGCUUCAGGAAAGCACCACAGCUGAGGUCUCAGGGGACAGGGAUGGAGAAAGAGCAUGGCCUGCUACUAGAAGAACAAGUAAGACUCUUAAAUACACGGCGAGCUGUUCUCACAGUGUAUUUCCAGUAGGUGACUUGGAUGGGUCUCUACAGUUUCCUCUACUGUGUCUGGUUGGACACGGGAAUGUGAAUGGUGGAUGCGCUGAGCAUCAAUUGGCCAAAGGUGUAAGGCCUGGACUGGGCAGUAGAGGUUACAGGGAUUUAGGGAAAGCUCAGAACUCGAUUUCUGAAUACAGUCAGAGCAUCCUUUGAAUUGGUCUCAGGUAAGUUCAUCACAGGGAAACAUGGGGUUCAUCUGCUUCAUAACUACUUCCAGACAGAAGAAAAACUCAGUCACUAUAGACAAUUAAGCAUUAAAAUCUUCAUUGUCUCUAGAAAUCUGGUUUCAAAGUCUAUACUUGUUUAAUAACAUAUAAAUUUUUCUUGUAAUAUGUUCCUUUCUCUUUUGAUUCUUUAAAGGAUUUCUUUUGUUUUACAACAGAUACAUUUGAGUUGAGGACUUCCUUUCCUUUUCCACAUCUUAAUCCUUCCCAUCAUUCUUUUUAUGCACCAUCCCUUCAGUCUUAAGUGCUUUCCACUUCCAACUAAAGACUUUAGGACUUUAAAGGAACUGGGGGUGGGAGGAGCAGCGUUUUCCACAUCUGGAAGCCUUAAGUCUUUUCUCUGAAUCUGGUUUUUCCUUGAAAGUGUAGACUGAAGGAUUCUUAUUCCACCAGGUCAGUAGAGGCAUUUAAUAAAUUGUAAUGGUCUCUUUAUACCAAGGAUGAUGCUGCCCACCAACAAAGUGAUAUUUAAGGAGACCACUGCACUUGAGGUAGAUGGAAGGCAUUUAAGUAGCAAACUAAAUGAUAAACACACACACACACACACACACACACACACACACACACACACACACACACACACAGAGGUAGAUGGAAGACAUUUAAAUAAAAGGAUAGUAUUAAUGACUAAUUGACAAGAGCUCUUCUCUCUCUCUCUCUUUCUCUCUCUCUUUCUCUCUCUCUCUCUCUCUGGGACUUCGGGAUAGUCAACCAUUUCUAUGAAGAACCUGAGUCUUACAAAGACUGCGAUUUUCAUGAGUUGUUGUACCAAGUGAGUGGAGGGAUACGGUAUGGGAUAAAAAUGGAAUCCUGUACUAUGACAGAGACUAGAAACAUCAGCCAAAACUCACCAUGAGGUGAUGUUGAAGCUAGGUCUUGCCUUAAGCUCAGAAAAGGGAAGAAUGCUAUCGUUAAUUAACCGUUGCUAAUGACUUGCAACUAAUUGAGUGAUAGCAAAUGUCUUUGUCUCUUGGAAUCAUGCUAAGAAAUCCCAGAGGUAUAAAGGUUAGAUAGUUGGAGUACAUUCAGCUGAAAGCUAAAGAUUCAAAAGCCAAUGGUUCUGGGGGAUUUUGUGGGGGAGGGGAAGGGAGGGGAGCACGGAACAAAAGGUGGAGAUGGGGGCAACUGACUGCCAAGGGGAAGGGUUGACAGGGGUUUCGGUGAUGUUUCCUCUAUUCCGAAAACAACCUGAAGAGAACCUGAGAAGCUCGCCGUGGCAUUCAUCAGUUGUCAAAACUGGCAUUUGCCUUUGUUGAACAAGACAGUGCAGACAAGAGAGAAGGUGCUGUAUGACAGGCGCCAGUGACUUCAAAUGCCAGGAGUGACGUAAAACGAUAAAAGAGGGGAACUAUCAUCGGGAGCCGUAAAUGGGAUUGUCUUGUGGCUUUAGUCAACUGACUUUUAACGUGAUGAAGGUAAUUUAAAUGUUCAGGGAUGCUGAUGGUCUUCAAGUUAAAAAUGAAGAAGCAGCAGCAGCUCUCGAAUGGUGGAAAGAACUUGAGUGAGGCCUUUGAAGCAGCCAUCACAUACCCUCCUUCCCCUGGUCCUCAGAGUCUUGACAUGGAUUCAAUAUAGGUUUCAAUUACGCAUUGGACACACGAGUGUUUACUGUGGAAAGAGAGGGUUGCAGGCUGUGGUGUUCAGCCUUCACCCACUCACCAUUUACCUGGAACCUUUCAGAAGGCCUAGGGGUUUGACGUCUUUGGAAGACCCAGCACCCAUGCAGAGUGGACAGAAGCUGCUGCUGGUCCACAUCUGCUUCUAGUCGCCAACCUACUUGUAGAUCCAGAACAAACUGGAGAAGUUAACUAGCCUCUCACUCUUUUUCCUAGCAACACUCUCAGACCUCUUCAAGUGGCAGAGAGUAGAGACGCUGCUGCCCUCCUCUUCGAGGAUGGGAAUUUGCCAUGGUAUCAUUUUUGCCAAAACAAGCUAUGCUGCUGAGCCUGCCAACCCAAACAAGUCCUGCAGAUAAUAUCCAGCCCCUCUUGACUUUCAGAGCACAGGCUCACACCCAGAAAAUAGAAAGGGAGGUUUGCAAGCCCUCAAGGUUUCUGGAAGCCACAAGCAAUGCACAAACAAUUCUUAAGAGCACUUGGGAAAACCAGGGGGAUUAUUAUCAGUGUCCAAGAUGAGUUUCCUGUCAUGCAACAGGGAAAGACGCCAGGAUUAUAGCACAGUGUAUCUCCUUCUAUUUCUGCUUUUGUGACUUCAAAGAACUCAGCUACUGUCCUGUUUAAAUAGGACCACUGUCCUCCUUUUCAGUGUGUCCCCUGCAUGCUCUGGGGCAUAACCAUCAUUUGACUGAACAUCUUUAAAAUGUUAUGAAAACCACAAACUAUGAUCUUUUUUAAAAAAUCUCCUACCCAUCAAGAGGACGAAACACUUGGGAUUCUUUUGUUGCUUUAACGAUGAUAAACAUUCUAAAUGGAACCUGGGGCAGAAGAACAAGCACGUGAGAGCCCAAUCAACUACCUUGAACUAGGUAAUGAAAACAUACAGACUGCCACACUUCACAAAAGGUGUGUGUGUGGGGGGGGGGGGGACCCUUGAACGUGCACUGAGGGUUCUCCAGGCAGCAACCAAGAUCACAAGAAUAGAUCAGGCAGUUACACAAGUGCCACACUUAUCCCAGAAGCCCAUAAUCCAGCCGGAUGGCACUCAGCUAGGUCAGGGUGCCCGAGGAUCUCCACCAGUGUAAUAGCUGCCUGCCUAAAAUUUUGCAUGGGGAAAUACAUCCCUCAGUCCUCUCAGGCUUAACCUCCGGACUCAAGGAGGUGGGACUCAUCUUCUAACCUCGCCCUCAGAGGUAUGCGCCCAGCACUUGUCAACACCCCUAAGAUGAGUGGAUUUAUUGAGUCCGUUCUGAAAUUCCAGCAGCCGUUUAGUAAAUGUUAUCAAUUUGGAAAUACUGUUGGAUGAACUUUUAAGAUGGGGCUUAAGCUGUUGCAGCUGAUGCUGAACCGUUUACAGCAAAGCAGCCGGAGGGUGGGUGGGGGC